rnacentral:rRNA from 1 species
UAAUUAGGUUUGGUUAAAAAAUAAAAAAUUAUAAAUUUUUUAUGAAAUUUUUUAAAAAAAUAAAAAUCAGAAAAUAUAAUUUAUUUAAUAAUAAAAAAUUAUUGAAAUUUAUAGUAUAAUUUAGCUAAUUUUGUGCCAGCAGCAGCGGUUAAACAAAAAAAAAAAAUUUUUUUUUUAAGGCUUUUUUAAAAAAUUUAAUUAUUUUUUAAUUUUUAAAAAAGGUGAAAUUUUUUAAAAAUAUUAAAAAAUUUUAAUGAAAGAAAUUCAAAUAUAAACUAGGAUUAGAUACCCUAUUAUUAAAGAACUUUAUAUUGUGAGUAACUAAAAUUUAUGAAAACAAAAAAUUAUGGCGGUACUUUAAGCUUUUCAGAGGAAUUUGCUCUUUAAUGGAUAAAACACCUAAAUCUUACUAGAAUUUGUUAAACCAGUUUGUAUACCACUAUUAAAGUAAUAUUUAAUUAUUAUUACUUAAAACUUUUUAGAAAAAAUAAAUUAAGUCAUGGUGCAGCAAAAAUUUUAGAAUGAAGUGAAUUACAAUUCUUUUUAGAUAAUUUUAAAAUUAAAAUUAAACUUAGGAUUUGAAAGUAAAAAUUCAAUAGUAUGGUUUUUUGAAUAAAGUUCUGAAGUAUGUACAUAUCGCCCGUCGCUCUUUUUAUAAAGAUAAGUCGUAACAAAGUUAAAAUACUGGAAAGUGUUUU